rnacentral:rRNA from 1 species
UCCUACGGGAGGCAGCAGUAGGGAAUCUUCCACAAUGGACGAAAGUCUGAUGGAGCAACGCCGCGUGAGUGAAGAAGGGUUUCGGCUCGUAAAACUCUGUUGUUAAAGAAGAACAUAUCUGAGAGUAACUGUUCAGGUAUUGACGGUAUUUAACCAGAAAGCCACGGCUAACUACGUGCCAGCAGCCGCGGUAAUACGUAGGUGGCAAGCGUUGUCCGGAUUUAUUGGGCGUAAAGCGAGCGCAGGCGGUUUUUUAAGUCUGAUGUGAAAGCCUUCGGCUCAACCGAAGAAGUGCAUCGGAAACUGGGAAACUUGAGUGCAGAAGAGGACAGUGGAACUCCAUGUGUAGCGGUGAAAUGCGUAGAUAUAUGGAAGAACACCAGUGGCGAAGGCGGCUGUCUGGUCUGUAACUGACGCUGAGGCUCGAAAGUAUGGGUAGCAAACAGGAUUAGAUACCCUGGUAGUCCAUACCGUAAACGAUGAAUGCUAAGUGUUGGAGGGUUUCCGCCCUUCAGUGCUGCAGCUAACGCAUUAAGCAUCCGCCUGGGGA